UUACCGCGUCCGAGGCAUUAAAUAUUGGGGCUUUCUGUUGAGACCCACAGACACGGACUUGGAUAAGAUUUUUAAUAUUUUUGGUGGACAUGGCCUGAUGGCCCAUAUAUAUACUUGUAUUCUCAUUAGACUAUCCACAUCAAUCUGAGGCGAAUGGCUGGAGAAGAGCAAAGAGGAAGAUGGAGCCUUCAAGGCAAAACCGCACUUGUCACCGGUGGAACCAAAGGCAUUGGGCAUGGUAUAGUAGAAGAACUUGCAGGAUUUGGAGCAAUAAUACAUACGUGUGCUCGAGAUGAAGCACAUCUCAACGAGUGUUUGAGCGACUGGAAAAAGAAAGGGUUUCAAGUCACUGGUUCAGUCUGUGACGCAUCGUCCUGGACCGAAAGAGAGAAGCUGAUGCAAACUGUGUCCACUUUGUUUGAUGCCAAGCUUAGUAUCCUCAUCAACAAUGUCGGGGCAAUCCGGUCAAAGCCAACAAUUGAAAAUACGGCAGAGGAUUUCUCGUUCCACAUUUCUACCAACUUGGAAUCUGCGUACCAUUUUAGCCAGCUUGCACAUCCUCUGCUCAAGUCUUCAGGGUGUGGUAAUAUCGUGUUCAUAUCCUCUGUUGCUGGGGUCGUGUCGUUUGGCGUCAGCUCUAUAUACUGUGCAACUAAAGGUAUAUACCGACUUAAGAAGAAACCAAAACCAAUGAUCAAAAUAAACCAAAACCACCUCUUUGUGAGUCUGGUUGGUACAGCUCAUGGUAGAGUAUAGUAGUAGUAAACAACAAUAAUACCACUCGAUAUGUAUGUAUGUAUAUAUAUUCGACCAAAAAUAAAAUAUCUAUACUAUUAAAAGGGAAGCAGUUUUUAAAAAUCUACUUAUAAAAAGUUGUUGGACCCUUUCAUUUUUUUAUUUUUUGGUCUUCCUUAUAUAUUAUAUGUUAUCCCUACUUAAUCUCACUUUGUUAUCAGCAAAAUAAAUAUUAUUAAUUGGGCUUUAGGCGUUUAACUUAAAAAAGAUAAUUUAACUGAUACAACCCAUUCAGAAAAGAAAAUUACAAAUCCAAUUAACUUUUGUUACAGAAAAAAAAAUUUAACCAAAUUAACUUUAGACCCAUUUUUUACAAAAUCCCAAAUUAUGAAGACCAUUUUAUACAUAAAUACAUAUAAAUGUAACAUUAUUUAAAUUGUAUGGAUUUCUAAUAAUGAAAUAUCUGUCACAAACUGAUUUUAUUGAUAAUAGUUUGAUAGAAAAUUAAAAAAGGAAAAAAAAUAAUACUUGCUUCACUAUUUUGGUAGAUUGAUAAUUAAUAUAUUUAUAAAUUAACUUAACAAUAUUUGUUAAAAGAAAUUUCUUAUACAAGUCAAAUGUAUAUUAAUAUAUCAAAAAUUUAUAAAACAAAAAAUAAAUUAUAUUUUUUCAGUGGGUUAAUAACCGUCUUUUUGAUUUUCAGAUACUUUUACUAUAUUCGUUUUAUUAUAUUCUAUCCUACUAUAUAUGAGUUUCUAGAUCUUAAGGUUCGACCAAAAGUCUGAUUCGGAUAUGAAAAUUCAAUGAAAACAUUGUAUCGGACUGAAAUAAUAAUAAUAGAACAGCUUUUAAAUAUUUUAGAUAUUUAAUAAUAAAUAUAAAUUCAUUUAAUAUUUGAGUUUACGGUCACCAAAAAAAUAUCCGGGCUUCUUAAGCGCGAGUCAAAAUCUAGUAUAUAUAUUAAUGCAGCAUCUUUUUUUUCCGUCAAAUUGUUAAAUUUCAUUCAAAAGAGGAAUACAAAAGCUGGCAGAAGAACUAGAAAUCCCGAGAAACACAAGCCCACAAGAAAGGCAACUAGAACCCACUCCGGGGUAACUUAGGAGAAUACCAAAUACAGACUUAACUAUAGCUACAACAAGGAUAAAUCAAAAACCCACCAUGAAGUUAGCACACUGCACUUGCAACCUUCCGACACCACUUGACGUUUCUGAACGAGAUUUAUCGUUGUUGCCCACGGCUCACCAAGGGAUAACAUCAACUUCUACGAACACAGAGAAACACCUCUUCCACCUAAAGAACCAGACUUUAUAACCCAACAAGAGAGAACCACACAUAGUUCUCCUCUUUCGGAUACGGCUGCAACACACUUAAUGCGUCCAAGCAACGCCUCAAUAAAAGCCAUACAACCAACACUCUAAUCUCAACAGAUCUAGAGAUAAACAAAGUCAAUCCCACCCGAACUCACCGAAAACAUAUAGAAACCGGCAGCAGGAGACAGGAAGCAUUCACUACCACAUCAAGAACUCGAAAAAAUUGCAAGUAUAGAGACCAAACAACCAAAAGAGGGCCAACGAUUCCCUUUGAGAGCAGAACAUAGCAUAGACAAACUUCCACACAACAAUGGAAAACAGAUAUUCUAGACCACUUAAAACGGAUGUCUCCGCUGGUCGAAGAGUGGAGAGCUCGUGGGCAAACAGAAUCAAAUCUGACAAGGGAGGAGAACCCCUUCACCACCGAUGAAGCCUCAACUACAACCUUAUCACAGAUCCGCCAGAUCUGACCCAGAUCCGGUUAAAACCACACAAAACACUUCCAAUCCCGAGUUCUCUGGCUUCACAUCAUGGGUAAUAGUCUUGCCGGUGCUCCAGCUGAGCAAAAGAACAACUAAAACACAGAUCUAUUUCCAAUAAGAGAUAGCUCCAGAGACACCAACAAAGAGACCAAACCAUAGACAUAGAAGACAGAGAAGAAAAGCAGA